rnacentral:rRNA from 1 species
GACGAACGCUGGCGGCGUGCCUAAUACAUGCAAGUGGGACGCAAGAGAACACACUGUGCUUGCACACCGUGUUUUCUUGAGUCGCGAACGGGUGAGUAACGCGUAGGUAACCUGCCUAUUAGCGGGGGAUAACUAUUGGAAACGAUAGCUAAUACCGCAUAAUAUUAAUUAUUGCAUGAUAAUUGAUUGAAAGAUGCAAGCGCAUCACUAGUAGAUGGACCUGCGUUGUAUUAGCUAGUUGGUAAGGUAAGAGCUUACCAAGGCGACGAUACAUAGCCGACCUGAGAGGGUGAUCGGCCACACUGGGACUGAGACACGGCCCAGACUCCUACGGGAGGCAGCAGUAGGGAAUCUUCGGCAAUGGACGAAAGUCUGACCGAGCAACGCCGCGUGAGUGAAGAAGGUUUUCGGAUCGUAAAGCUCUGUUGUAAGUCAAGA